AUGUCUUGUUUUAAGCUCCCAAGGGGAUUAUGCGAACACUUAAAUAAGCUUAUCCGGCAAUUCUUUUGGGGCAGCAAAGAUGGGCAGUGUAAGCGUCACUGGGUUUCAUGGAAAGUUAUGACUCAGCCAAAGAAGUGCGAAGGCCUGGAUUUCAGAGAUCUUGAACUUUUCAAUCUUGCAAUGUUGGCAAGUCAAGCUUGGCGGAUAUUGACUAUGCAUGACUCUUUCUGCCCCAGGCUACUCAAAGCAAUUUAUUUUCCUGAUGGAACUAUUCUGGAUGCUACCGGAUCGCACCCAUAACAAGUGUGGCGGUCGUUGGUUGAAGGGAGAGAUGUGCUAAAACAAUGUCUUAUUCGCAAAAUAGGUGAUGGAAAUUCAACACAAAUUUGGACUGAGAAUUGGAUCCCGCGGGAUGCCAUGAUGAAACCUAUUGCGUGUCUGGGCAGAAUCCGCCGAUGCUUGUUUCAUAAUUGUUGA
rnacentral:rRNA from 1 species